rnacentral:rRNA from 1 species
AAACGCUGGCGGCGUGCCUAACACAUGCAAGUCGAACGAGAAAGUCGGUUUCGGCCGAUGAGUAAAGUGGCGCACGGGUGAGUAACGCGUGGAUAAUCUACCCUUUAGUCCGGAAUAACUUGCCGAAAGGUGAACUAAUACCGGAUGACAUCCCGGGUUCUCCGGAAACCGGGAUCAAAGAAGGCCUCUGCUUGCAAGCUUUUGCUGAAGGAUGAGUCCGCGUACCAUUAGCUAGUUGGUGGGGUAAUGGCCUACCAAGGUUAUGAUGGUUAGCUGGUCUGAGAGGAUGAUCAGCCACACUGGAACUGAAACACGGUCCAGACUCCUACGGGAGGCAGCAGUGAGGAAUAUUGCGCAAUGGGGGCAACCCUGACGCAGCAACGCCGCGUGAGUGAGGAAGGUUUUCGGAUUGUAAAGCUCUGUCGAGCGGAAAGAAAUGCACGAUGGCUAAUAUCCAUCAUGCUUGACGGUACCGCUAGAGGAAGCACCGGCUAACUCCGUG